AGCUCCAAUAGCGUAUAUUAAAGUUGCUGCAGUUAAAAAGCUCGUAGUUGGAUUUCUGGUUUGAAACAUUUAGCCGGCCACGGUUUCGUGUGUUAGUGUUAGGUGUUCUGACCAUCCUUCCAAUCGCUAUUCAGCUUUCUUCAUUGAUUGCUGAGUGGUAUUGGAUCUUUUACUUUGAAAAAAUUAGAGUGUUUCAAGCAGGCUUUAUGCUAUGAAUACAUUAGCAUGGAAUAAUAAUUUAGGACUUCGGUUCUAUUUUGUUGGUUUCUAGAACUGAAGUAAUGAUUGAUAGGGACGGUUGGGGGUGCUUGUAUUCAGAGGCCAGAGGUGAAAUUCUUGGAUUCUCUGAAGACAAACUUAUGCGAAAGCAUUCACCAAGGACGUCUUCU
rnacentral:rRNA from 1 species